CGGCGGACGGGUGAGUAACACGUGGGUAACCUGCCCAAGAGACUGGGAUAACACUUGGAAACAGGUGCUAAUACCGCAUAACCAUAGUUACCGCAUGGUAACUAUGUAAAAGGUGGCUAUGCUACCGCUUUUGGAUGGGCCCGCGGCGCAUUAGCUAGUUGGUGGGGUAAAGGCUUACCAAGGCAAUGAUGCGUAGCCGAACUGAGAGGUUGAUCGGCCACAUUGGGACUGAGACACGGCCCAAACUCCUACGGGAGGCAGCAG
rnacentral:rRNA from 1 species